CGUCCUACGGGACCAGCAGUAGGGAAUUUUCGUCAAUGGGCGCAAGCCUGAACGAGCAAUGCCGCGUGAACGAGGAAGGUCUUCGGAUCGUAAAGUUCUGUUGAAGGGGAAAAAGAGCGGAGAGAGGAAAUGCUUUCUGAUUGAUAUUACCCUUCGAGGAAGUCACGGCCAACUACGUGCCAGCAGCCGCGGUAAUACGUAGGUGGCGAGCGUUACCCGGAAUGAUUGGGCGUAAAGGGUGCGUAGGCGGCCUGCUAAGUCUGGAGUGAAAGGUACCGGCUCAACCGGUACAGGCUCUGGAAACU
rnacentral:rRNA from 1 species